ACUGCCAACAGAUCUGGACUUUGACUUCAGUCUAGCGGAAACGGACACCUGAAAAUGAGCCCAGCUGAGCAUCUACUUGCUGACACAUUAGCUGUGAAAACUCUGACAAACCUGCAGAGCCAUAUGAUGUCACAUGGCAAAUAUUUGGUGCCAUCACGCAUACUAUGGUUCUUCCUGUUCAGAAGCAGUAUGGGGCCAGGAAGCCAUUGAGCUAAAACACCACAUACUGCUUUGAAAGUUAAGGAAGCGUUAAGGAGGUGAAAAAUAGGUGAUAACUUAAUGCGGUGCUUGCUGGUUGUCCAUGGGGAGGCAUAAACUUGAUCCAGGAUCUGGAAUACAGCCAAGAAAACUGCUGAGAAGAUGGAUCCUUCGUAUCACAUGCUGAAGGUCAUUGUGGGACCCAUUGCAGACUUGUCUGUGGGCUCUAGCUCCAUCUCUGUAGGCACCAGUGUCUCCCUAUAUAGGAACCACUGUGUUAGACACCAGGAAUCAGUACUGUCAGCUUUUCAAGUGAGAGAAAGGUACUUGCAAUUAAAAACUGCAGACGUGGUGAGUGUUACAAAAUAAAAAAGAGAUGGGGCAGUGGAUGAAGGAACUGUCCUGAAAGAAACACUUGGAUUCCUGCCACCCAUAGACCUAUCAGAAACAAGCAAAAAAAAUCAAGAAUAGGAACAGAACUGAAUCAAGUCCUACUACAACAGGUCUCUCUGUUGGGGUGGUAGCAGUGCAUCUCUUGUCGUUGGUCCAUUAGCUUGCAUGCUGCUCUGAUUACUGAUGGCAUCAACAUUUUAUUCAGGACAGUGCGCAUGCAGGGAGGAGGGAGGGUGAUUUUGCUUGCUGCAGCUUGCAGGAACGCUCUGGGUCUUCAUAUUCCUGUACUGCAAUCCAUUACUUCCAGAAGAAACAUUGGACUUAUUCACAAGCAUUUGCUCUUGGGCUUGCGGAUUAAAGGUGGCUUGCAGGUCCCUACCCUUUGGCCUGCUUCUUGAAAGGAAAGAGGCACACUGCGUGCUGUAGGCUAAUCAUAUGUGCUGGACUGAUGCAACUGGCACUGGAUUGCAAAGGACAGACUGGCCAGGAUGGAGCUGGCUCCUCCAGCAGCAGCCGUUAUCCCUGUAGCUCCGUUUCUGAUUGCAUGGCAGCAACCACAAUCUCACCUCAUCUUUCUCCUCCUCCCCUGCAGCACCCCAGACCUGACCCCUGGGGCUGAUGAGGAGAAGGUGAGGGCUUGCUAGGGAUGCAGGGGGAGAAGGUCAAGCAACUCCAGGUAUGGAUUCAGGAGGGAGAGGGUGCAUUGCAGAGUGGGAAUGAACAAUCCCAAAUCCCAGGUCCAGCUGCUGGCUUCUGAAAUCAGACUCCUCCCUAGUCAGGAAGGUCAGCAAUGGACAUCAUUGUUCAAAUUACAGUGACAGAAAACCUAGUUAAACACAAGUGAUGAGAAAAACCUGGUGGGAGGAGGUCAGAAGGAGGAACAAACUUCUUAAACUUACUGGACAAAGCCUGACUGGCAGUUUCCCUGCUUGGCCCAGUGUAAGGGAAAAGGUGCAAGAUGUGCAUCUCCUUCCAGAGGUCAUGUUCUUAAGCAGUCUUUUGAAAGGAUUUACACAAGCUGAAUAGCCAUAUUUUAUUUCUCUAAUAAUACUAGUAUUUGUAACGAACUACCAUAAAACCCGUAGUAUAAAAUACUGUGGCACACUACUCAGGAUUCCUCACAGCAAUGAGUGUCCACGUGACCUGGUUACGUUUUUAUGUGCCAGGAGCCUGGUUGCUGUAGGAGGUAUUAAAUAACAGUGAACAUAAUGAAAUGUUAUAAUGUAUGAGCCUGGAUGGAUGGGUCAUUUCCAAGCAGACAUCCCAUCAGCAGCAGGAUUAGGGCUUCUAACAGGCUCUAUGUCACAGGGCCUUUUUGCUCUCCUGAGCUUUUAGGUAAAGUAGCUUUUUAAUUGCUUCUUCCUCAGGCACAUUAGAAAUUUCUUAGUGCAUAUGUCUCUUAGCUGAAUAGGUUGGUACUUGGCCAACCUUGGUCAUAGAAUUUUAUUGAACAAACCUCAUGCUGUUUGCUGCAGUAAAGGGUGAUCAUUGCCGACAUAUAUUAUGUAGUAGAGGAGUUGUCGUUCAAACACUGUGUUCAAUAAAGGUGACUGAACAACCAUGGCUACAACAUUGGCCUAAAUAUAAAACCUAUCUGUUGCAAGUUUCUCUUUUUCUACCUAGUGUUGUAAAUUAUGAGAUGGAGUGUAACAUUUAUUUUACAGGCCAGAAGAAAAAUAACUUAAAUAAUAAUAUUCAUUAUUAAAAGCCCUCCCGCCAUUUUUCAUUCUUUAUUCAAAAAACAAACCAACAAAAACAACAAACAAAACAA